CCUACUGGUGGCUGCAGUGAGGAAUAUUGGUCAAUGGACGAGAGUCUGAACCAGCCAAGUAGCGUGAAGGAUGACUGCCCUAUGAGUUGUAAACUUCUUUUAUAAAGGAAUAAAACGAGGCACGUGUGCCUUUUUGCAUGUACUUUACGUAUAAGGAUCGGCUAACUCCGUGCCAGCAGCCGCGGUACUACGGAGGAUCCGAUCGUUAUCCGGUUUUAUUGGGUUGAAAGGGAGCGUAGAGGGGUUGGUAAGUCAGUUGUGAAAGUUUGCGGCUAAACCGUAAAAUUGCAAUUGAUACUGGCAGUCUUGAGUACAGGUGAGGUAGGCGGAAUUCGUGGGGGAGCGGUGAAAUGCUUAGAGAUCACGAAGAACACCGAUUGCGAAGGCAGCUUACUAAACUGUGACUGACAUUGAUGCUCGAAAGUGUGGGUAUCAAACAGGAUUAGAUACCCUAGUAGUC
rnacentral:rRNA from 1 species